rnacentral:tRNA from 1 species
GGGGUGUAGCUCAGUGGUAGAGCACGGCUUAGCUUUCAUGAGGUCCUGGGUUCAAUCCCCAGUAACUCCA